UACGAAGGGGGCUAGCGUUGCUCGGAAUCACUGGGCGUAAAGGGUGCGUAGGCGGGUCUUUAAGUCAGGGGUGAAAUCCUGGAGCUCAACUCCGGAACUGCCUUUGAUACUGAGGAUCUUGAGUUCGGGAGAGGUGAGUGGAAUGCCGAGUGUAGAGGUGAAAUUCGUAGAUAUUCGGCGGAACACCAGUGGCGAAGGCGACUCACUGGCCCGAUACUGACGCUGAGGCGCGAAAGCGUGGGGAGCAAACAGG
rnacentral:rRNA from 1 species